GACGAACCAUGCAAACGUUAUUCGGAAUCACUGGGCUUAAAGCGUGCGUAGGCGGCUCAGAAAGUUGGGUGUGAAAUCCCUCGGCCUAACCGAGGAAUUGCGCCCAAAACUACUGAGCUCGAGGGAGUUAGAGGUGAGCGGAACUCACGGUGGAGCGGUGAAAUGCGUUGAUAUCGUGAGGAACACCGGAGGCGAAAGCGGCUCACUGGGGCUUCACUGACGCUGAGGCACGAAAGCUAGGGGAGCAAACAGG
rnacentral:rRNA from 1 species